UACGUAGGUGGCAAGCGUUGUCCGGAUUUACUGGGUGUAAAGGGCGUGCAGCCGGGAAGACAAGUCUGAUGUGAAAUCCCGCGGCUCAACCGCGGAACUGCAUUUGAAACUGUUUUUCUUGAGUACCGGAGAGGUCAUCGGAAUUCCUUGUGUAGCGGUGAAAUGCGUAGAUAUAAGGAAGAACACCAGUGGCGAAGGCGGAUGACUGGACGGCAACUGACGGUGAGGCGCGAAAGCGAGGGGAGCAAACAGG
rnacentral:rRNA from 1 species